UCUUUGGAACUGGAGAUACAUUGGGAGCAGUAACUACGACUGCAAAUAUGGGAUUUGUGAGAGCAGCAGAACACCAGGGGGUGUCCUUUGCUGUCUAUAGACAUUCCUCUCGAGCUCUGACAGAAGAAAAGGAGAAAAAUGCAACACCACUAGAUGGUAUACAUGAUAAUGUCCCAAGUUCUGUUGACAAAUGUUGAUAAUCUGUCCUGCUGUCAAGCAAUCCAGAAAUAGGAGAAAAGGCCACUCUGCAGAAUGACCAGUAAUGGUGCUAAUCAUGACAAAAUGUGAGAGGAAAAUGCAGCACUGCUUGGCAACACUGUGUUAUAUGCUCUGAUGAAAGACAAGAGUGAAAAUGGCUUCAUUUUAAGAAGAAGCGAUGAAAAAGGCUUCACUUCUGAAUGUGUAGUGUUCCACACUCAAAAAAGAUAACUCCUGAAUGUGUAGUGUUCCACACUCAAAAAAGAUAACUCCUGAAUGUGUAGUGUUCUAAACUCGAAAAAGAUAACUCCUGAAUGUGUAGUGUUCUAAACUCGAAAAAGAUAACUCCUGAAUGUGUAGUGUUCUAAACUCAAAAAAGAUAACUCCUGAAUGUGUAGUGUUCUAAACUCUAAAAAGAUAACUCCUGAAUGUGUAGUGUUCUAAACUCUAAAAAGAUAACUCCUGAAUGUGUAGUGUUCUAAACUCAAAAAUAACAAAGAAGUAAGUGACUGGCAAACAACCCACACAACCAAUAUGACCAGAUAAGAAACAAGCAUUAAAGACCUAACUACAUUCUGUACCUUUAAUGAUAUGCUUUUGAAGAUUUGAAUGAGGACUUGUGAAAAAUAUUCACAAGAAGGGUGUCUUCGGGAUGUUUGCAAAGACUUUUGAUUUGAUUUGAUAUUUUUGAAGGGUCUUUAUGAUUUUGGUUUGCUUUUAAUAUUUUGUUCAUAAGUUUUUAAAGAGUUGAAAAUUAUUACAAUUGAUGAUCAUUAAAAUGUUUUUAAAAAUCUCUAAAUACCAACAUUGGAAUGUAUUGACAAACUGAAGUAUCUUAAUUAGCAAAAUUCUAAUCAACGAACAUGUUAGUAUCUUAACCAGCAGGUUCUACUUUACUCACAAACAAAAUUAUAUCCUUUAACAGUUGCACAAAUGAAAUCAAUCCAGUUGAAA